rnacentral:lncRNA from 1 species
CUCGGUGGGGACACGGUGUAAAGGCGGCGUGGAAACUUGGUGCACGACCUUACAAUAAAUUGUAAAAUAAGCGUUUUACCUGGUGAGAUGAAAAGACCGGCAGGAGACGGCACCCCGGUAGGAUGAACAGAAGAGACUUUUAAACCUGAAGAAAUCAUCCAAAAAGCGACCACAUGUUAGUGUCCUGCUGCGAGUUCUCCCCCCAGAAUCCAAGCUUGGCCACGUGGGGCCCUAGGAAGGUACUGACAUUGUUCGAAGAGCUGGUGCCUCCCGGCCGGAGGCCGCUGUCAAAGGACGCACGACCUGCCCAGCCCACAAGGUCCUGGGAGCCUGGGCCAGGAAACAACAGUGGUGACCUGGCAACCGUCUCCUGGCAACCCCCACCCAGCCGGAACCCAGAGGUGAGCUUGGGUUUUCGGAGGAUGGGGAGGGGCUGCUGAGUGGCGGGGCCAGCCCGGGAAGCCGGGCUGAGGGCUGAGGCUGGAGAAGGGCACAGCUUCAUGGGCACAGCUGCCUCCCAGUCACUGCUGGGACUGCCUGAGCCUGAGCCCCAGUUGCUGCCCCUCCGCCCGGCCCUCCCAGGAUGGUCCCUGAGCCGUCUCUCAGGCCCCACCCAUGCUCAGCACCCCAGGACCUGGCCCGGGCCAGGCUCUGCGUGCACCCUGGUGAUGUUGGCUGGAUACACGGCUGCCGAUCCCUGAGCAUUCUCUGUGCUUCACGUGGUCGGGUCCCUGUUCUCACUCCACAGCGGACGAGGUGCCACUGUGCCCCCCUCUGCAAACAGGAACCGGGGGCUCCACAAAGUGAGUGCCCCCCAGAGGGGGACUCACAUCUAUCGGUCCAAACUGCACCUUUCUGUAAGCCCCUCGCUGUGUCACAGACCUCGGCCAAAGUGAAGCAUUCCGCAGGGGUUUGGGCCGUGAGGAACAGCCUGCCCGACACCUGACUUGAACACUCUGCGGGGAAAAACACCGAGGAACAUCACGAUUACCUUCUGCGGGAACAAGGGCCAAACAAACGGCCUCAUCCUGAAGCCGUGUGGCCCGGGCCGCUCCCACCCAUACCUAUAGGCACCCCAGCCCGUAGGCGGCAGUGGGCUCUGGCAUCCAGCUGGUCCCCCACCUCUGCAGGUGUUUGCAAUGUACCCGUGUUGAUGUAAGGCUGCCCUUUCUCCAUCUCUGUGUGUCUUUGUUUAACCCUCACAUUCUCUCUUUUUUUUUUUUCAAAAUACGGAGUCUCACUCUUUUGCCCAGGCUGGAGUGCAAUGGUACGGUCUCGGCUCACUGCAACCUCCGCCUCCCAGGAUCAAGCAAUUCUCCUGCCUCAGCCUCCCGAGUAGCUGGGAUUACAGGUGCCCACCACAGUGCCCAGCUAAUUUUUGUAUUUUUAAUAUUAAUUUUAUUUUUUAUUUUUAUUUUGUUUUAUAUUUUAUAUAUUUAUUAUUU